rnacentral:rRNA from 1 species
AAUGAACGCUGGCGGCAGGCCUAACACAUGCAAGUCGAACGAGUGGCGGACGGGUGAGUGAUGUCUGGAAACCUGCCUGAUUGACGGGGAUAACUACUGUAAACGGUAGCUAAUACCGCCUACCAUGAGAUGGGCCCAGAUGGGAUUAGCUAGUUGGUGGGGUAAAGGCUCACCAAGGCGACGAUCCCUAGCUGGUCUGAGAGGAGGACCAGCCAAACUGGAACUGAGACACGGCCCGGACUCCUACGGGAGGCAGCAGUGGGGAAUAUUGCACAAUGGGCGCAAGCCUGAUGCAGCCAUGCCGCGUGGAUGAAGAAGGCCUUCGGGUUGUAAAGUACUAUUAGUGGGGAGGCGGUACCCGCAGAAGAAGCACCGGCUAACUCCGUGCCAGCAGCCGCGGUAAUUC